GAUAAUAUAAUCUUUCUACAAAAGAAGAGAAGCUCCAAGAUUUCAAAAUUUGUGAAGGGAGCUGCUGACAGAAAUGCAGGAAACACAGCAGAUUUGCGGACCUCCUGUCGGACAACAUCUCUAAGGCGCUAUGAACCAUAUGACUAGAUCCUAUGUACCCAGCCUCAACCAUUCAUCAGAAGGACUGUGAAAGCGGGAACUCUUUGAACCACCAGUGGCAGUUUCCACGGGAUGAAAAAGGGCAUAGUAGUGGAUGAUAGG